rnacentral:snoRNA from 1 species
CCAACGUGAACAUCCUGUGAGGUUGCUCUCAUGUGGCUCUGUUCAUAUGGCUUUAGGGAGCAUAGUACUGUUUGUGCAGUGACUGUAUAAUCCCAUUCCAUGACGUUGGACAGCAAGCUUUUUCCCCUGACCAUUUUGGUUGGUGAGGAUAGCGGCCUGUAUAUUCCUACAUCUUCCCAGAGUCCUUGUACAGUUACUGGGGAGACAAACCAUGCAGGUCACACUA